UACGAGGGGUGCAAGCGUUGCUCGGAAUUAUUGGGCGUAAAGGGUAGGUAGGUGGUCUCAUUUGUCUAGGGUGAAAGCCUUGAGCUUAACUCAAGAAGUGCCCUAGAAACGGUGAGACUGGAGUCUUGGAGAGGGUCGUGGAAUUCCCGGUGUAGCGGUGAAAUGCGUAGAGAUCAGGAAGAACACCGGUGGCGAAAGCGCUCUGCUAGGCCGCAACUGACACUGAGGGACGAAAGCUAGGGGAGCGAAUGGG
rnacentral:rRNA from 1 species